CUUCGUCGUCUUCCCGCACAGCACCGGGCAGGUGCACAGCGACGAUGAUUCGAGGCGCUGCUUGGUGCGUCGCUGUACUGUGGAUGGUCUCUCUUCACCUCGCAGGAUGUCUAGAGCUGCAGACACCUCUCGGGACCCUCAGAUCAGAUGCGAAUCUAGUGGUCUCGG